GAUGAACGCUGGCGGCGUGCCUAAUACAUGCAAGUCGAGCGAACGGACGAGGAGCUUGCUUCUCUGAUGUUAGCGGCGGACGGGUGAGUAACACGUGGAUAACCUACCUAUAAGACUGGGAUAACUUCGGGAAACCGGAGCUAAUACCGGAUAAUAUUAUGAACCGCAUGGUUCAAAAGUGAAAGACGGUCUUGCUGUCACUUAUAGAUGGAUCCGCGCUGCAUUAGCUAGUUGGUAAGGUAACGGCUUACCAAGGCAACGAUGCAUAGCCGACCUGAGAGGGUGAUCGGCCACACUGGAACUGAGACACGGUCCAGACUCCUACGGGAGGCAGCAGUAGGGAAUCUUCCGCAAUGGGCGAAAGCCUGACGGAGCAACGCCGCGUGAGUGAUGAAGGUCUUCGGAUCGUAAAACUCUGUUAUUAGGGAAGAACAUAUGUGUAAGUAACUGUGCACAUCUUGACGGUACCUAAUCAGAAAGCCACGGCUAACUACGUG
rnacentral:rRNA from 1 species